UAGCCUAGUGGUUAAGGCUAUGGAUCGCAAAUCUGGAGACGGCGGGUUCGAUUCCCGU
rnacentral:tRNA from 1 species